GAUCAUGGCUCAGGAUGAACGCUAGCUACAGGCUUAACACAUGCAAGUCGAGGGGAAACGACAUCGAAAGCUUGCUUUUGAUGGGCGUCGACCGGCGCACGGGUGAGUAACGCGUAUCCAACCUGCCCAUCACUUGGGAAUAACCUUGCGAAAGUAAGACUAAUACCCAAUGAUAUCCCACGAAGGCAUCCGAAUGGGAUUAAAGAUUCAUCGCUGAUAGAUAGGCAUGCG
rnacentral:rRNA from 1 species